AGCGUACACGGUGGAUGCCCUGGCAGUCAGAGGCGAUGAAGGACGUGCUAAUCUGCGAUAAGCGUCGGUGAGGUGAUAUGAACCGUUAUAACCGGCGAUUUCCGAAUGGGGAAACCCAGUGUGAUUCGUCACACUAUCAUUAACUGAAUCCAUAGGUUAAUGAGGCGAACCGGGGGAACUGAAACAUCUAAGUACCCCGAGGAAAAGAAAUCAACCGAGAUUCCCCCAGUAGCGGCGAGCGAACGGGGAGCAGCCCAGAGCCUGAAUCAGUGUGUGUGUUAGUGGAAGCGUCUGGAAAGGCGCGCGAUACAGGGUGACAGCCCCGUACACAAAAAUGCACAUGCUGUGAGCUCGAUGAGUAGGGCGGGACACGUGGUAUCCUGUCUGAAUAUGGGGGGACCAUCCUCCAAGGCUAAAUACUCCUGACUGACCGAUAGUGAACCAGUACCGUGAGGGAAAGGCGAAAAGAACCCCGGCGAGGGGAGUGAAAAAGAACCUGAAACCGUGUACGUACAAGCAGUGGGAGCACAGAGCAAUCUGUGUGACUGCGUACCUUUUGUAUAAUGGGUCAGCGACUUAUAUUCUGUAGCAAGGUUAACCGAAUAGGGGAGCCGAAGGGAAACCGAGUCUUAACUGGGCGUUAAGUUGCAGGGUAUAGACCCGAAACCCGGUGAUCUAGCCAUGGGCAGGUUGAAGGUUGGGUAACACUAACUGGAGGACCGAACCGACUAAUGUUGAAAAAUUAGCGGAUGACUUGUGGCUGGGGGUGAAAGGCCAAUCAAACCGGGAGAUAGCUGGUUCUCCCCGAAAGCUAUUUAGGUAGCGCCUCGUGAAUUCAUCUCCGGGGGUAGAGCACUGUUUCGGCAAGGGGGUCAUCCCGACUUACCAACCCGAUGCAAACUGCGAAUACCGGAGAAUGUUAUCACGGGAGACACACGGCGGGUGCUAACGUCCGUCGUGAAGAGGGAAACAACCCAGACCGCCAGCUAAGGUCCCAAAGUCAUGGUUAAGUGGGAAACGAUGUGGGAAGGCCCAGACAGCCAGGAUGUUGGCUUAGAAGCAGCCAUCAUUUAAAGAAAGCGUAAUAGCUCACUGGUCGAGUCGGCCUGCGCGGAAGAUGUAACGGGGCUAAACCAUGCACCGAAGCUGCGGCAGCGACGCUUAUGCGUUGUUGGGUAGGGGAGCGUUCUGUAAGCCUGUGAAGGUGUGCUGUGAGGCAUGCUGGAGGUAUCAGAAGUGCGAAUGCUGACAUAAGUAACGAUAAAGCGGGUGAAAAGCCCGCUCGCCGGAAGACCAAGGGUUCCUGUCCAACGUUAAUCGGGGCAGGGUGAGUCGACCCCUAAGGCGAGGCCGAAAGGCGUAGUCGAUGGGAAACAGGUUAAUAUUCCUGUACUUGGUGUUACUGCGAAGGGGGGACGGAGAAGGCUAUGUUGGCCGGGCGACGGUUGUCCCGGUUUAAGCGUGUAGGCUGGUUUUCCAGGCAAAUCCGGAAAAUCAAGGCUGAGGCGUGAUGACGAGGCACUACGGUGCUGAAGCAACAAAUGCCCUGCUUCCAGGAAAAGCCUCUAAGCAUCAGGUAACAUCAAAUCGUACCCCAAACCGACACAGGUGGUCAGGUAGAGAAUACCAAGGCGCUUGAGAGAACUCGGGUGAAGGAACUAGGCAAAAUGGUGCCGUAACUUCGGGAGAAGGCACGCUGAUAUGUAGGUGAAGUCCCUCGCGGAUGGAGCUGAAAUCAGUCGAAGAUACCAGCUGGCUGCAACUGUUUAUUAAAAACACAGCACUGUGCAAACACGAAAGUGGACGUAUACGGUGUGACGCCUGCCCGGUGCCGGAAGGUUAAUUGAUGGGGUCAGCGCAAGCGAAGCUCUUGAUCGAAGCCCCGGUAAACGGCGGCCGUAACUAUAACGGUCCUAAGGUAGCGAAAUUCCUUGUCGGGUAAGUUCCGACCUGCACGAAUGGCGUAAUGAUGGCCAGGCUGUCUCCACCCGAGACUCAGUGAAAUUGAACUCGCUGUGAAGAUGCAGUGUACCCGCGGCAAGACGGAAAGACCCCGUGAACCUUUACUAUAGCUUGACACUGAACAUUGAGCCUUGAUGUGUAGGAUAGGUGGGAGGCUUAGAAGUGUGGACGCCAGUCUGCAUGGAGCCGACCUUGAAAUACCACCCUUUAAUGUUUGAUGUUCUAACGUUGACCCGUAAUCCGGGUUGCGGACAGUGUCUGGUGGGUAGUUUGACUGGGGCGGUCUCCUCCUAAAGAGUAACGGAGGAGCACGAAGGUUGGCUAAUCCUGGUCGGACAUCAGGAGGUUAGUGCAAUGGCAUAAGCCAGCUUGACUGCGAGCGUGACGGCGCGAGCAGGUGCGAAAGCAGGUCAUAGUGAUCCGGUGGUUCUGAAUGGAAGGGCCAUCGCUCAACGGAUAAAAGGUACUCCGGGGAUAACAGGCUGAUACCGCCCAAGAGUUCAUAUCGACGGCGGUGUUUGGCACCUCGAUGUCGGCUCAUCACAUCCUGGGGCUGAAGUAGGUCCCAAGGGUAUGGCUGUUCGCCAUUUAAAGUGGUACGCGAGCUGGGUUUAGAACGUCGUGAGACAGUUCGGUCCCUAUCUGCCGUGGGCGCUGGAGAACUGAGGGGGGCUGCUCCUAGUACGAGAGGACCGGAGUGGACGCAUCACUGGUGUUCGGGUUGUCAUGCCAAUGGCACUGCCCGGUAGCUAAAUGCGGAAGAGAUAAGUGCUGAAAGCAUCUAAGCACGAAACUUGCCCCGAGAUGAGUUCUCCCUGACUCCUUGA
rnacentral:rRNA from 1 species